rnacentral:rRNA from 1 species
UAUCCUGGCUCAGGAUGAACGCUAGCGGCAGGCUUAACACAUGCAAGUCGAGGGGUAUAUGUCUUCGGAUAUAGAGACCGGCGCACGGGUGCGUAACGCGUAUGCAAUCUGCCUUUCACAGAGGGAUAGCCCAGAGAAAUUUGGAUUAAUACCUCAUAGUAUAGUACAACCGCAUGGUUGCACUAUUAAAGUCACAACGGUGAAAGAUGAGCAUGCGUCCCAUUAGUUAGUUGGUAAGGUAACGGCUUACCAAGACUUCGAUGGGUAGGGGUCCUGAGAGGGAGAUCCCCCACACUGGUACUGAGACACGGACCAGACUCCUACGGGAGGCAGCAGUGAGGAAUAUUGGUCAAUGGGCGCAAGCCUGAACCAGCCAUGCCGCGUGCAGGAUGACGGUCCUAUGGAUUGUAAACUGCUUUUGUACGAGAAGAAACACUCCUACGUGUAGGAGCUUGACGGUAUCGUAAGAAUAAGGAUCGGCUAACUCCGUG